AUCACGGCCAAACUGUCUCUCAUUAAAAUUCACUCUAGCAAUUAGUCAAACAGUUGAAAAGAGUAGCUACAAGCUCAGAAUCCUUUGCUGAUGAUAAUUUUUAAUGAGAGAUUUCAAAGACCCAACCGGGUUGCUGUGGUUACAAAAAAGGACGUCUGGGCUCAGAGCUGUGCACAGAGUGCUGAAGCAGAGGACAUGGACUCAGAGCCGCCAUGGCCAUGUUGUAGCUGCCAAAUCCUGUCCCCAGCAGACCCAGCACACCAAGGAAGACCAGUGACCUGA